CCUGGGUCUGCUUUUUGAAGAUGCUUCCUGUGAUGUUUGUAGAGCCUGGCGUUGCGUGGUCUCGGACAGGGGUGGGAUUUAGAAGGAGGAAAGUAGAGUUGUUUGCCAUUCAUUCUCCGUUGCACCUCUCGUGGAAGUACUGUGCAUCUGGCAGUUAUGGAUUAGCAGGCACACUCUUUGGAAAAUAAUUACUUUGUGCCUUUGGGUGUGGGCAUUAAUUUCUUCCUCUUGGGAUCUGCUCCAUGCUACAUUUCAAAUUAGACUGUGCUUUCUAACAGGGACGUGUGUUUGCUUCCUGAUCUCAAUCUAGGGAGCUGGGGCGAGAAGCGCCCUGAGGGAGAGGGGACACUCCUGGUUGGAUUCCAAGGGUUGGGUUUGGAAAUAUCAUAAUGCACGAGAGAAAAGAUCACUUGAAAACAAACGUUUGGAUGAGUUAUUGGAUGAUGGAAACUCUUCAUAACACAAAGAGCUAACAUCCGUCUCUUCUGAACCAGUUAACACACCACCCACAUGCUGCUUUCAGACACAGCGACGCUGGCCUAAUUUAUGUGCUCACCAUUGUUCUUGCACAUUUCAGAGAUGAGACCCAACAGUCGCCAAAUCGCUUGUUGAGGAGAAAUUAGCAAAUGGAUCAAAUGAGGGAACGAGGCCGACCAAGAAUCACGGUGCUGUUCAUUUCAGACAUGGGAGCAGAAGACAAGAUUUCAGACUCAUACACACUGCGACCCCAUGCCCGACUUCAAAAAAACAGUGAUUCAUCCAGACACCAAAGCUCAGCAGCUCAGAGUCAACCUCAAAUAUAGUCAAAGCUCACCAAGUGCUCCCCCAAGAAAAAUAGAACCUAAGUGCCUGACGACCUUUACCGCAGGCAUAUUUUUAGGGACGUGCCUAUCCCGUAUACUUCUUGCUCCCUCACGUAGAAGGAAAUCUCUAGAAUAACACCUCCAACUGAGCCUCUCUUCCUCCAACUCUCUUGCUCCCCAGGUAAGAAAGAGGGUCUGCACCUGUUGGGCAUCACAGAGGACCAACGUCUCCUCUCUUAUCCUCUCUUCUCCCCUCCUCUCUAUUUCGACUAUUCUACUAUUUUAAAAAUAAUAGAUGCAAUCAUUUCAUUUGAAUUAUUUAAUUCCUAGCGAUUUAAAAUCAGACACUUGAACGACCCGACUAACUUUUCCUAAUGAAGCUAGCAAUUUUUUAAAUGUGUUAUGUGACACGCCCUGCACGUUUUCGUUUUAAGUGAGAACUCUGUAUAAUGAACGGUAGAGACAAACUUCCUAAGUCUGUCGCCACUAGAAUUAUCUAGGCUUGUUUCUGAUAAAAUCACUUUUCACAAAUUGUAGAGAAUGCCGACUGCCGUAAUGUGUCAUGUCCAUGGAUUCUCGUAUCUGCAGAUGGCCAGAGCCCACUAGGCAGCUGCCACCUGCUUUCCCCCUUAUUAACUUGGGUAGAGACCCUCCGCCCUUGCCCACCCACCACUCUGCUGCAUUCCAUAUGACACUAAAGACUUCCUUUUGAGGCCAAACCAGAAUCUGGCAUCGUGACCUUCACCAGAAAGCUAACUCCUGCGGAAAACUGCACUAGACGGUAGAAAUCGUAAAGUACUCUUGUCACAUGCAAUGUAAAUCCCCAAAUCAACAAAUAGGUAGUUGUCAAAACGUGUCACUUCUCCACGGUGGCGUGCUGACAACUCGUGAGAUAUUUUAGGUGCAUUUUGACAACAAGGCAUAAUUAACUGUGGCUGCAUUUUGGAAGGAUUUUUUAAUUUUAAUUUUUUUUUUUUUUCUGAGAAUAUCAACUGGCCCAGAUUCCCCAGGUAGGGAGGGACGUCAUCAACAAAGGCUGUUACUCUGCCGAAGAACUGGCCUUGAGGCUCUCCCUAGGAGUUGCAAAGCAAUGAGAUUUCCUUCCCACGGAGUGGCAACACACACGUGAAUGUGCA
ensembl:lncRNA